UAUAAACACAACAUGAAUACUCGGAUAUGGAGCCCUUAAAUUUGGUUAUUAAAGAAUUGUGACCAAGAAAUGUUCUCACCUGGAAAUUUUACAGUGCAAAACUAAAAAUGUAA